GUUUCCGUAGUGUAGUGGUCAUCACGUUUGCCUCCAAUAUGUAAUAGGUCCCAGUUCAAAACUGGGCGGAAACA